rnacentral:rRNA from 1 species
AUUGAACGCUGGCGGCAGGCCUAACACAUGCAAGUCGAGCGGCAGCACGGGAAGCUUGCUUCCUGGUGGCGAGCGGCGGACGGGUGAGUAAUGCAUAGAAAUCUGCCCGGUAGUGGGGGAUAACCUGGGGAAACCCAGGCUAAUACCGCAUACGUCCUACGGGGGAAAGCAGGGGAUCUUCGGACCUUGCGCUAUCGGAUGAGUCUAUGUCGGAUUAGCUUGUUGGUGAGGUAAUGGCUCACCAAGGCGACGAUCCGUAGCUGGUCUGAGAGGAUGAUCAGCCACAUCGGGACUGGGACACGGCCCGAACUCCUACGGGAGGCAGCAGUGGGAAAUAUUGGACAAUGGGCGAAAGCCUGAUCAGCGACGCCGCGUGGAGGAUGACGGCCUUCGGGUUGUAAACUCCUUUCAGCGGGGAAGAAGCGAAAGUGACGGUACCUGCAGAAGAAGCACCGGCUAACUACGUG